rnacentral:lncRNA from 1 species
AUAAGAAAUUGAAAGGAAGCAGACGUUUAUGGUCUUUCUCUUUAGCAGGAACAUUUUUGUAAGUAAGAGGAUGCAUUCAGUUUAGAACAACAGAUCCCCACACUUGAGAUGAAUAUGCCAAUCCUGUUGUUAAGAUUCUGUUGGAAGAGAGAAGGAUGGGAAGUUCAAGUAUUUUGUAAACAAGAAGGCAGAGGCACCUGGAGAAAGACUUCAGUGAGCCUCACUGCUCCUUUCAGUGCCCUCCCAUCACUCUGCCUACUAUACAUUGCCCGCAGAGUCUUCCAGGUGGACAGAGAAAGCCAGGUUGUUGACAAGACAGGUAGAAGAUCCCAGAAGAUCCCAAACUGCACUGGCAGUUCGUAUGACUGUUUAAUAUAUACAGCACUGUAAAGAAUCUGCAGGCUUCAGGAUUUUUUGUGGGUAACAUUACACCAUGUUUUUAUAAAUGGUUAUGUUUUAUCCUGCUGAUCCUUUAUCUCACUCUUGUCCUUUCCAGAAAUUCUAAUUUGGGAAUGAAAGUUUGCAAACUAUAUCAGAUCAACUUUUCUUACUUUCACGACUUGUGCAGAGAAAUGGAUUACCUGUGUUCAUCCUCUACCAUCAAUGGAGACAGAGUCAACACAGAAACUGGAGUUUUGAGCAUGAUUCAUCUGGUCGAAGAUCAACAUUUACCUCAGGAUGAGAGGGAUCAUGUCCUGGGUUCUGCUGUUUAGGUUUUAGUUGGGUUUAAAGAGAGCUUGAGGUCUGGCCCAGAUUGUACGUGCAGAUACCACAAGUCACCUGUGAAAUCAGACCACACAUCCCAAGUUGCUAUUGUUUUAUUUAUCUGGUGAGUACUGAGGGGUUGAGGGCCUUAUCUGCUCUGCCUUUGUUAUUAAAAACAAAACAGAACAAAUAGUUAAGUUUAACACUAGCUAAACUGUUUUGCACCAAAUAGAGCCCCUAGUAAUUUUGUCUUAGGAACCACAGAACAAAUGAGUACAAAAGGUAGGCAGACCCAGCUGGUUUU